AAGCAGUUGCACCUGUGCUGGCCCUAAUCUCCUUCUUCCUCCCAGCUGUGCUCCUGGCUUUACAUACUGGUCUAGUCAUAGUCAUUCUCUGUCAGAUUCUCAAAAGCCAUUGUAUUCCUGGACUCUGACCUACCGAUCUGCACAACGACCUAGCCCUUUGCUAAGCCCUCCAGAUACCUCUGCCUGCCUUAUAUUGUUAUGUAUGACUCCUGCCUGGAUCUUGGCUUCCCCAUUUGUCUCAGGCCUUCUCACCGGUAUUGUGAAGUGAACCUACAGCUCCAUUCCCCUGUGACUUCACGACUGUCACCUCCAGGACCUAGACGAAACCCCAGGUUCUACUUAUAGGAUACAGUGAAACCUCCUGGAAUGUGGGAAAUUGUUUCCUGUGUGCACUCCUGGCUGUUUCCCAUCUCACAUCCAAAUAUACUUUUUAAAUAA